GCAGAUGCUGUGACUUCAGUGUCUCUGUUUUCUUUUGCACCCUAAUAAAAGAAAACAGAGAGAAUCAACUGCCAGGGAAAGUUGGGGAGGUCAUUCCGGAAGGAGAAGCCUGGGCUUCUGGAAAGUUUCAUCCCCAGAAUGAUGUGUCAGGAUGAGCUUGACAUCACUGGAGCAUCCCAGGGAGGUGACGUGCAGCUCAGAGCAGGAGCCUUGGGUCCACGCCCCAUCAGGACCAGCGAGCAGAGAUGAGCAGAGCAGCGCCUUGAGCACAGAAGGAAGGGGACACGGGACUUGCUUGGCAUGCUUGCAGAAGCACACUUAAGCCAUCAUUAGGUCACAUAGAGUGAUUAUAGCCAAACCCACAAGCCCAUUUGAGAAGCAGGAAAUGUCUCGUGUGAUCCCAGAUGGAUUCCGGAAGACAGCACUGGCACUGAGGCUCCAUGGCAGCUUGGGUCCUCAGCCCAUAGGCUGCCAUCUUCUCACGCUCUGAAACCAUCUGUCAGCUGGCUUCUCCUGACCUUUGGAAGUUCCCGAAGACCAAGGGCUUGGCCUACCCAGCUCAGCACAUCAGCAAGUGGCUCCAGAAAGUAUCCCAUGUCUUAGGAGAGCUGCAGAGGAGAUGCAAGCAAGCUGUUUACGAAGAAGAUGAAGCCCUCUUCAUGCCUGCUGCCAGAGUGCCACCUCCAGUAGCAAGCAUACCAGGAAAACGCAUGGACAGCCUGGCCAGCAAGCAAGUGGAAUAGGCAAAGAUGGCUCGCCAUGGACCAGCAUGGCCAUUCAUCAAGCAGAGGCCAAAUUGCUAUCUGUCUCAUGGAGUUCAUUGGUGAUUCCCAUAUUUAUGUCCAUGAUUUAUGUCUGGAUGUCACCAUGCACUUUGUGAGAGUACUAAAUGUGUGAUUUGUAGACAUCAACACUCGACUGCUUCCCAGUUUAAUAAUAGCUUAAAGGGCCCUGCAGCCCGCUCACCUAGGCCAGCAGAAAAGGGUUGGUUUUGAGUUCCAGCAGACUGAUGCGAACACAGAACAUUUCGGAAAAGAAGCGUUCCCCUUACAGCUGUCUGUUGGACAGGAGUUUACGGCAAGGUGGUAAAAGUUAAGCUAAGGGCCUGGCCGCUUUGACCUCAACAGGUCUUAACCACUUUUUCUCUUGGCUCUGAUGCUGUCUUAUUUUGGAUCACAAAGCAAGAACAGUGUAUUGUUUUUGUCGUUGCCUUUUAAAAGAGCUGAAAAUACUGUUCUCCCUUUAGAUCUGCAUCUGUGUGUGUCUGUACAAUACACACACACACACACACACACACACACACACACGGGGUUGCAUACAGACCCCUGGUGGCCCUCUCCUUGGUGGACUGAGACGGGGCUGACGCAAUGUUCUUCAGCUUGACAGCUGUGUGUAACUCACAUCAGCCGUAUUUAUGAUAUGUCUGCUCUUUAUUUAAAAUUGAGUUGAAGGGCUACGGCUGUGACUCAAUGGGAAAGCACGUACCUACCAUGUGUGGGGUCCCAUCCUUUCCCUCCCAAUGUAAAGGACCUGGGGGAGCAUCUAAGGGCCUUGUAAUGGCUUGUAUCAGGAAGGGUCUCUGACAGUCUGACAUUGCUUGCUGGACGCUCUCUAGGAGACAGAGCAGAGUAGAAAGGCUUAACUUUCCUAUUCCAUAGGAUCCUAGGAAAAUUCACUGCGGUAACCAGCACAAACCUAUGGAUCUUGUCACUACUUCCUGUAAUCCAGUUACGUUCCCGGCAUUCAGAAUCACACAGUGGCUAUCAUACAAGAUGAAUAAAAAUUUGAACUACUGCUACUUUGA